AGAGUUUGAUCCUGGCUCAGGACGAACGCUGGCGGUGUGCUUCACACAUGCAAGUCGAACGGAGUAGCAAUACUCAGUGGCGGACGGGUGAGUAACACGUGGGAAUCUACCAUUAGGUGGGGAAUAACAGGCCGAAAGGACUGCUAAUGCCGCAUAUGUAGGCAUCUCGACAGAGAUGUUUAUGAAAGGAGUAAUCCGCCUUUUGAUGAGCCCGCGUCCGAUUAGCUAGUUGGUAGGGUAAAAGCCUACCAAGGCGACGAUCGGUAGGUGGUCUGAGAGGAUGAUCACCCACAAUGGGACUGAGACACGGCCCAUACUCCUACGGGAGGCAGCAGUGGGGAAUUUUACGCAAUGGGGGAAACCCUGACGUAGCGACACCGCGUGAGCGAAGAAGCCCUUUGGGGUGUAAAGCUCUGUCAACAGGAACGAAACAAAUGACGGUACCUGUGGAGGAAGCAUCGGCUAACUACGUGCCAGCAGCCGCGGUAAGACGUAGGAUGCAGGCGUUGUCCGGAUUUAUUGGGCGUAAAGAGUUCGUAGGCGGUUUGUUAAGUCUGAUGUUAAAGACCGGGGCUCAACCUCGGAAAUGCAUUGGAUACUGGCAGACUGGAGUGCAGUAGAGGCUAGUGGAAUUCCCAGUGUAGCGGUGAAAUGCGUAGA
rnacentral:rRNA from 1 species